rnacentral:rRNA from 1 species
AGAGUACGUGAAACCGUUCAGGGGUAAACCUGAGAAACCCAAAAGAUCGAAUGGGGAGAUUCAUCGUCAACGGUGCCGGCUCCCGUUUGUGCGCGAUGCUCCGAAUGGGCUCUCGUGGUUCCAUGGCGAGGGCACGCCACUUUCGGCCUGAACGUUCCGGCACCGUAGUCGUGCACUUCUCCCCUAGUAGAACGUCGCGACCCGUUGCGUGUCGGUCUACGGCCCGAGCGGGCACCUGUCGCGGCGCAUUUCGCGUACGCGGCAGACCCUCGGUUGCCCGACCGGCUGCGCGACGGUACUCACACGGUAUCGGGCCGCAACCAAUCCAUUCUCGAAUGUGUGUGCGUCAGGCCCGCCGCAAGCUCGGGCAGUUUUACCCGGAGGUACGGACCUGGUGCCGUCCCCGGGCCUGACCAGCUGUUAGCAGGCGGUGUCCUCGGACUGGCCAAGCUUCGAAUUACCGGUCGGCGACGCUCCUGCUUUGGGUACUCUCAGGACCCGUCUUGAAACACGGACCAAGGAGUCUAACAUGUGCGCGAGUCAUUGGGAUGCAUAAACCUAAAGGCGCAAUGAAAGUGAAGGUCGGCCUACGCGUCGACCUAGGGAGGAUGGGCCGCGUUACGAUGCGGCCCCGCACUCCCGGGGCGUUUCGUUCUCAUUGCGAGAAGAGGCGCACCUAGAGCGUACACGUUGGGACCCGAAAAGGG